AAAUGCCUGAGUAUCGAUGUCAAGAGUCACUGCCGCGAAUAUCGAUAGUGGCCUUAGUGACCCGAUAUCGCGGCAUGACAAUCGAAAAAAGCCAGCAUGGCUGGUUUGUUUACAUUUUUAGAAUUUACAAGUUUGCUAAUAAAAUUUUCUUUUCAGGUAUUUCGCGGCUUUCUGCCAACAGGAUUUGGAGUUGCCGCAUCCACAGGAAGGCGUCCAGUGUCGAUGGAGGUGUACCAGCCAGCGGAGUCGGCGAAGUUAAGUAGCAGCAAGUUUCCAAUCCACAGGGGAGAAAGUAUCGUCAGAGUUUUUGCACGCUGUAACUUACAAGUCUUUUCCUCUCGUACUAGGAGUGUGUGUUGCAGCACGUGUCAGCCUCAUUCAAAGCCUCUGGAGAGUCCGGAUUAAUGUGGUUGGCAAUUUCAGAUACAGCCAGCUGUAGAUUAGCGACGCCAACUUCAGGAGAGUCCACCGUCGGUUGUUGGCCAAUUUGAAACCGAGUUUGCUGUGGAUACUGGAUGCACGCUGACCCCAAGGGAGCAGUGGCAGAAGGAGCUGGUCCAGCUGGAUAUGAUAAGGACUCGUGGGAGCAGGAGGCGCUAAUCCAGGAUGUAGUGGAGGCCAGUGUUUUAGCGACUUCAAAGCAGCCCAAACCAGUGGCCGCGGUGGAUCCAGUAAAAUCAGCUCGGGGCAAACCAGUUGUAGAGCAUUCAGCUGUACUGCCCAGUGAGUCCAGAGGUGCAGAAACUUGAGUGUCGUUGUAAACAGUGGAAGCAUCUCGUGUACAUGCAGAUUUGACCGCUUGUCUGCGUUGGAGUUAGAGGCUUCAAGAACGCUUGGAGCAGCAGCUUGGUGAUGGAUAGUGGACGAAGGUGGAACAAUUUGGAGAUACUCUUCUCUCACACCAGGAGUGAGUAGCACAGCCACAUCAGUUGCUGCCGACGAUUCCAAGGGAUCCGGAUUAGCGCCGUCAAUGAUUUGGUCGAGGGGCAAUCUUGGAGCAGCAUCACUGUUGGUGUGUGGACAUCUAGGAGUGACCCUUCGUUGAAACCUGUAGAUUUGAGUACAGUUUCAGCCUGUUCAGGCCAGCUUGAAGCUGCUGCUCUGGAGUUGGCGUGCGGACCUCGGAUGGUAGUAGCGGGCUCAUAAUAAGCCUCUGGAUGUACUCUGGCUGAAACCUGAUGAUAUGGGCCAUGUCUACACGGCUAAUCGUGCCACUCCUGACUGACCGUGACAUGUUGUUGACCCAGUCCAUCGACGGCCUUUCCUGGGGUACGCCGGUCGCUAACGCUAGUUCCUGUUUUUGCCUAGCCUGGCUUUCACGAUGUUCUAUACGCAGCUGUGCUUGCUGCAGAUUACGCUGUUCCUGUUCUUGUUGUUUAAGGCGAAUUAGAGUUGGAAUUUGCUGCUGGAGUGUUACCGGCUGCUGUAGAAGUAAACGCCGCAAAG